CACCUGGGGCAUAUGGGAGUUCCCAGGCUAGGGGUCGAUUUGGAGCUAUAGCUGCUGGCCUAUACCACAGCCAGCUCCAAGCUUUGUCUGCAACCUACACCACAGCUCAUGGCAAUGCCAGAUCCUUAACCCACUGAGCAAGGCCAGGGAUCGAAUUCGUGCCCUCACGGAUACUAGUCAGGUUCGUUACUGCCGAACCACAAUGGGAACUCCCCUGAUAAAGGUUUCUAUCAUCUGAUUAUUGGUUAAGUGAUGCAUAUAGUAAUAGCAGAGGAAAAAUCAAAAGCUACAGAACCCCAAAUCAGCUUUGUGUGCCCCAAAGACAGAGAUAAGCCAGUGCCUCAUUAUAGUCAAGGGAGUCCCUAGUCAUGACAUGAUGCGUUACAAAGAUUUAUCGUAUAAAUUUGAUCUGAGAGCAAAGUUAACAAAUGCUUUGUUUACAUCUGUUUUUUUCCUUGGCUACACCACACCAUAUGGAAGUUCCUGGGCCAGGGAUCCAAUCUGAGCCACAGUUGUGACCUACAUGACAGCUGUGGCAACACCAGAUCCUUAACCCACUGCGGGGCUAGGGCUCCAACUCUCGCCUCAGCAGCAAACUGAGCCGCUGCAGAGAUAACACUGGAUCCUUAACCUGCUGUGCCACAGUGGGAACCCCUUGUUUGCAUUUUUGAAGUGCUGUAUUUUUAAGGUUUCUAUUAUGAAAUUUUUGAUAGAGAGCCUUUGCCUGACUCCAAAAUAAAAUGUUUGUUAUAUUCUUGCCAUCCCCUGUGCAAGAUGAUUUCAGCUCUUGAAGAGAACUGGUAAUUGGCUGGUUGGAAGAGAACAUAUAGAGACAUAUAUGCCCUUUGUCUAUUCCUCUCCGCCACAGUUUUAACUCUUCUAACACAGGUUAUUACAAUAGCAAUUUAUUUUCAACCUUUCACUCUUUGUCAAGAAGGAGGCGACAUCUCUGAGGGAACUGUUACAGAAGAAACACAAUGUGAUGUGUCCAGCUGAACAUUUUGCUUGUGAGUAAGGGAGGGAGAAUUGUGAACUCCAAUCCAAAAGAGUGGUCCAAGGAUGACUUCAAACUGUUUUUUUUUGUUUUUUGUUUUUUUCCUUUUUAGGGCUACACCUGUGACAUAUGGAAGUUCCUGGGCUAGGGGUCAAAUCGGAGCUGCAUCUGCCAGCCUAUGCCACAGCCACAGCAACCACCGGAUUUGAGCUGCAACUGUGAGCCACAGCUUGGGGCAAUGCUGAAUCCUUAACCCACUGAGCGAGCCCAGGGAUGGAAGCUGCAUCCUCACGGAAAUUAAGUCAGGUUCUUAACCCACUGAGCCACAAUGGGAACUCCCAAACUGGUUUUGACCUCAGAACAAAUACUGGAGUGUGAAUAUGUGCCCUGGUUGGUGCAUGUCUGUGUCAUAGGCAGGAACUAACCAUAGCCUGGCUCCCAGCUCCAAGGAAAUGAUCAAAGGUAGUUUUUCCCAGUGGGGAAAAGUUUGGCAAUGGCAACAAACUCAGGUGAUGUAUAGUUUCACUGGAGUGGACUUUCAAGGAUUUUUCUUUCCCUCUAUUUAUCAGUACCAUGAAAUUUCUUACAAGAGAUAUUAAUACUAAAUGCAAUAACACAAGCAACAAAAUGUGAUUCAGAUCCUGCAGAUAUUUUUUAAAUGGUCACUUUAAAUAUAUCCAAAUAAUAUGUGUACUAUGUAAAGAUGAUGAAACAGCAUUUAAGGUUUAAAAAGUUGCCCAUGUUGCACAACUGGUAGAAUUUAUGUCACAGCUACUACAGAAUUAGAGAAAAGCAUCAUACGCGCUAUACUGUUAAAAACAAACUCUCUAUCAUUCUUUCUUUCACAUCCUAUGUGCUUUGAGCUUCUCACUCCUCCUUUCUUUCAUCCAUGGUAGCUGAUGGGAGCACAGGGCCUAAAUUUGGAGAUGCUGCUAGUGAGAGGAUCUCCGACAUGUAUGAAGGUGCAGGUGAUACUUCUCCACCUGCCGCUUCAGUGAAGACAAUGACAUUUAUAAAAAUUAUCUGUCAAAAAACUGAGAAGCUCUGGCACUCCUGACUUGUCCCAACAGGUAUGAAGGUGGAAAGUAUUUUGAAUUCCUUAUUCAGAGGAAUAUUUAAGAGGGGUUAUCUCACUUGAAUUAACAAUGUACUGCAGGUACAGAAUUUCAAAUCAUCUCUAGCACUCUAGUUUCAGCUGAGGUUUUGAGAAGUGAAAUUAUAUUCAUAUGGUCACACAGCAAGUUAGAGAUGGAAUCACCUCUGGAAGUUUCUAGAUUCUUAAGCCAGCAUUUCAAGUCUUAUCCAAAUGAUUGGCCUUGAGGAGUGAUAUUGAAUGGCCCUGAGUGCUGAUUAAAUGCUAUAGUUUAGAGCUUCCUGUAUAAACACAUGAGAUCAUUUCACGUUGCUCAGCACCUGGUGUGAUCCUGGCGAGUUCCUGUCAUGGCUCAGUGGAAACGAAUCUGACUAGCAUCCAUGAGAACGCAGCUUCAAUCCCUGGCCUUGCUCAGUGGGAUAAGGACCCGGUGUUGCUAAGAGCUGUGGUGUAGGUCGCAGAUGCGGCUCGGAUCCCCUGUUGCUGUAACUGUGAUGUAGGCCGGCAACUAUAGCUCUUAUUGGACCCCCAAGCCUGGGAACCUCCAUAUGCUGCAGAUGCAGCCCUAAAAAGACAAAAUUGCAAAAAAAAAAAAAAAAGAAUGAAUGUAUAUUCUAUAGUAAUUUGUAGUAUUUUAUCUCCUUAUAGAAUUUGUCCUGGGUACUAAUAAGCACCAAGGAUCUAAUAAAAAAUUUACCACAACUUGGGGCCCAUUUAUCACAAUUUGGUUGGUACUGGCUUAUUCUUGCUAAUCUAUAGCAGUGGGUAAAGUCAGAAGAAUUAAGCACUAAUCCAGAAUCCAGCAUAUAGGUCUUAGUGUAACGUACCUUCACCAAGACUAGUUCCCUUAGCAAUCAAAUGGAGUUAAUCAUAGCACUUGACUUACUGAUUUAUGAGAAUCAAUCGAAUCAAGUAUUUGAAAGUUCUCUGAGGUACAAAAAUGUGGUAAACAAACAGCCUGGUGGAUUUCUCUCUUGAACUCAAAUUACAGAUGCCACAGAAGCAAGACAGGGGUUGAAAUAUUCCAGAAUAUUUCUCUCUCUCUGUCUUUCUCUAUCUCUCUCUCACACACACACACUGCCAGCUCCUUAGAUCUUAGAUCCUUAGAGAAGAAAACACUUACUUUCAGGUAAUGGCAUGGGGAAAAAUGGUAGCCUAGGACAUACAUUAUAGAAAGAGCACAGGCUAAAGAAGAGAUUUCUAGAUGUCUUUCACUAUAGGAAUGGAUACCUCAAUGUCUUACAAGCAUAAGAUUGACUCUACGUGUCUGUCAGAAGUAACAAACUAAAUCUACAUAUACCUACAUGGAUCAAAUUUAAUACAUGGUAUCAUGUUUAAAAUACACAUGUCUAUAGCAAAAUACUAUUUAUGCAAAUUCAUAAUGUGCAAUACACACAAAACAGAACAUGGUACAUUUUUCCUGCCACACACAUAUAUUAAUAAUUAAUUGAAUUUCUACAAGAAUAGGAGGAAAACCAUGUGGAAUAAAUUAAAAAAAAAAGAAAACAAUAAAAAUAUAGAACAAGGGAAGAGUCUUUAACUUUCCUAAUGUUUCAUGAAUAUCAUUACCAUCAAUUCAUCAAUUCCAUGAAGAAAUAGAAAAGAAAAGCAGGAAAAUAGGAGUAGGAAGGUGGAGAAUGCUGCUUAAAACCAGGCUAUGCCUCACUGACUUCCCUUUUGGUACAGAAACGUAUCCUCUGCUGGCUGCACAGUAACCAUCCCAAUAAUGCACAUAAUCUUUAACAAGGGCAAACUGUCACUGUCAUUUAUUGAUGUUUGUAUCCUGCACAUACAUAUUUACACACACACACACACAUAAUUUCCAUUCAUGUCUUUACUGUCUGCUUAGAUACAAAGAUGUAAUAAAAAGACCACAAACAGUCUGACUCAGUUUUCGAUGUUUGACUAACAGCUUUCAAGCCCCUGCUCCUCCCUUCUCCCUCUUGACUGGCAUCUAGACAAGCCAAUAAGAAGGUCCACAAGCACUCGCUCUUGGUGCUGGUGGAAAAUUCAAACCAAGCAUACCGAGGGCCUGAGGUGAGACCACUUACCCUGGCCUGCACCCUAAUUCCAAUCAAAGUCAAAGCCAGUUUCCCCUUCCUGGACUCUCGAAUCACUUUAGAACCUUCUUGGCAGCCUGACCUGCUUUCCAGAGAAAAGUCUUAUUAUUUAAGUAAUAAACGUCUUUAUAUCUUCUUUGUGCAUGUGUAGAAUCAUUAUUCUCAAUAUCUAGACCAAAUUUGAGUAAUGGAAUUGAUCCUGCCUCUGCUCAGGAAACCAGAGAUUAAAAAGGAAAGCAAAACACACAGGGGCACUAAUUACCAUUCAAAUGAUCCUUCUAAUGAUGAUGUUGGCCCAAGGAGCCAAUGCAUAAUAAAAGAAAGUUGCUCAAAGAGAUAUGCAUUGAUUAUCUUUAUCGCUUUAUCUGAAAUUACCAUUAGGGCUGAAGGCUAAAGAAAAACAUUUUUAUAAUUUUCUAUUUCAUUUCAAAUAUAAUAAAAAUAGCACUUAAGCAAAAUAAGUCUUUUAAAAGCCACAGGGAAUAUAUUACUAUGGUAACACGAUCCCCAGCAGAAAUAGCAACACUGAUCUUGACAUACUCCUAGGAUUACUCUUCUCUCGAUACGCCACAGUGGCAUAGAUAUAAAUCCUUCAAAGACCCUAAGCAGAACACCUAAGCCACAAUAUGCGGCAUCAUUAUAAUGAGGUUGUAUAAAGUUAUCAUGCAAAAUAAUCAGAAACUCCUUUUGGACUGCGCCUUUUCCAUGUUGAAAAGGAAUACAAAGUAUAGUUGCUUUUUCAGGGCACAUCAGCAGAAUAGAAACCCUGUCUGGUGUUUCUAACUUUUAAGUUAGUUUCAACUAUCUAUGUCUCCUGGCAC
rnacentral:lncRNA from 1 species